rnacentral:rRNA from 1 species
GACGUAGGGGGCCAGCGUUGUCCGGAGUUACUGGGCGUAAAGAGCUCGUAGGCGGCCCGUUAAGUCGGGUGUGAAAGCCCCCGGCUCAACCGGGGAAUUGCACUCGAUACUGGCGGGCUAGAGUCUGGUAGAGGGAAGUGGAAUUCCCGGUGUAGCGGUGAAAUGCGCAGAUAUCGGGAGGAACACCGGUGGCGAAGGCGGCUUCCUGGGCCACGACUGACGCUGAGGAGCGAAAGCUAGGGGAGCGAACAGG